UGGAAUGCUUGCUGGUCUAUUGCU
rnacentral:siRNA from 1 species